GCACAAGCGGCGGACAUGUGGUUUAUUCGAUGCAACGCGAAGAACCUUACCUACUCUUGACAUCCAGAGAACUUUCCAGAGAUGCUUUGGUGCCUUCGGGAACUGUGAGACAGGUGCUGCAUGGCUGUCGUCAGCUCGUGUUGUGAAAUGUUGGGUUAAGUCCCGCAACGAGCGCAACCCUUAUCCUUUGUUGCCAGCGGUUAGGCCGGGAACUCAAAGGAGACUGCCAGUGAUAAACUGGAGGAAGGUGGGGAUGACGUCAAGUCAUCAUGGCCCUUACGACCAGGGCUACACACGUGCUACAAUGGCGCAUACAAAGAGAAGCGAACUCGCGAGAGCAAGCGGACCUCAUAAAGUGCGUCGUAGUCCGGAUUGGAGUCUGCAACUCGACUCCAUGAAGUCGGAAUCGCUAGUAAUCGUAGAUCAGAAUGCUACGGUGAAUACGUUCCCGGGCCUUGUACACACCCGCCCGUAACACCAUGGG
rnacentral:rRNA from 1 species